rnacentral:misc_RNA from 1 species
GGGAAACUAUGAAAUCAGAUAUAUGAGAAUAUGAGAUACCCACCUUGAUUAUAUAGUUCCAUAUCAUCAUCAAUCACCUCAAAAACACAAAUUUCAAUCUGGGUUUUACUCUUUUCUUUGAAAAAAGUUUGAUUUUCUUCCUCUAUUUUAAUCUCCAUAAACAAAACAGCUUCAUAAGAAAGCUUAAUUUGGCCCUGUUUUAAAAAAUACUCUCUCAAGUCCAAUUCCAUUUCGAGUUAUAAAAUGGGCUAAUAUGGGUUUAUGCUUUGUUUGAGAAUCAAGAAAAUUUUUUGUUCAUGAGGGUUCUGUUUUGCAAGAUCCAUUGUCCUCCUUUCGUUUGCUUUUGCAAGUCCUCUUCUAGCAUAUAUACGGCAGGACCAUUGAAAUUGGAAAAAAGUCCUCAGGUGCCUUCAACUGCAGUUAUAUCAGUUGCUAAUGCCUCCUCUAAAUUCAAUGAUCAUCAUGUGUCUAGUGACUCCAUUGGAGUUAAAGAAGAGAGUUCGGAAGUCGAUGUAGAUGUGGAUGGGAAGCAAUCAAAGGCUCAGAAUUGCCUCAAAAGUAGUCUUAUAAAGUCUGAUUUGGAUUCAAAAGAGGUUGAGAAGAAGAGAGUCCAGUGGAUGGAUUUCUUAGGAAAAGAACUUGUUGAGAUCAGGGAAUUUGAAUCCAGUGAAACAGAAGAUUCUGAUAGUGAAGAUGAGAGCAAUAGAGGCUGUUCAUGUAUGAUUCUUUGACAGUGAAAUUAGAAUCCCUGCUGCAAGUUCCUGUAGCGAAUGCUGCAACCAGAAGAGGAAGCCAAAGAAAAGUUUUUAUCUCCAUCUACUCAAUUCAUCCAAAUCAAUGUAGCUGAUAAUUUAUUUUCCUUGUAAGAUGUCAAGUUACCAUUUGUUAAUUUUAUUAAGAUAAUGUUAAUUCUGUUCACUUAUUUGACUAAUUCGUUUUUACAGGGCUUUUUUGAGCCCUUGGAUUAUGUAAUCAUUAAUUCUCGUAAGCAGUGUCAAACCUAGGAAUUUAACAACACAUUUGGAUAGCCAAUUUUUGUUUUCAAAUAAUUACAAGAAAGGGUUGUAGGUAACAUUAUCAGCUGUAAAAUUCCAGCUCUCAGUCGAGUCUUCAGUGGGAAAUGAUCUCAUGCACCAGGACAGUGCAAGCAGUGGCAGAUGCGAAUCCUCCUGCACCCUUCAGUUUCAAUUAAGGCCCAAGCAAGUUUCAAGACAAGCAACAGUUGAAUAAAUUUAUGAUUGAUAUGUUUCUGCAAAAGACCUUCCUUUACAAACACCCAGUCAAAGCCAUAAGCAGACAUUAAAUACAAGUAGACAUCCAUAAACAGAACUCUUCUAAAAGCAGCAUCCCUUGUGAAACUAAUAAACCAGGUAGGCCGAAUAGAACAAAUCUUCUCAUCGGCGAUUAGGCUCUGCAAGCCUAGGCCUGCACACCAUUUGUUCAAGAAACUUGGAAAAACGCAAAUGUUUUGCAGCCCAUUGCUCAGCCAACUUCUGCUCCUUCGUUUCCGCAUCUCUUCUCAAUUCAGCUAAUUGUUCUCUGUAUUCUGCUUCAAUUCUAUCGAGAGAAGCCUUCUGUUCUUCCCUAAGAGCCUUGAUCUUCGACUCUAUCUCUUCCAUUUUCUCCCUCCUCCGGCUUGAUUUCUCUGACUCCAGCUGCAACUCUACUCUUCUUAGCCUCCAGGCGGCCUCCUUCUUAUGUGCAGCCAAGGCGCGAUGCCCUUCUUCCAACUCUUUGCAACAUUCCAUCAACUCAGAUAUCAUCAGAUUCUCACAAGCAGGGACUGAUCCAUGAGGUGGCAAACUGCCUAUAACAAAAGCAGUGUUAUCCUGUCCUCUCUCAGGCUGUAGCCAGGGGAUUGGAGGAGGAGCUACAACUGUUGAUGGCGAGAGGCUUAGGGUUACAGAAGGGGAGGGUGGCCUGCCAGAGGAUGCGCAGUUGGAAGUAGAAAGCCAGGGUGGAAGCAGAGUUGUUGCAGGAGCAGGGGGAUCAGUAUGAAGAAAGCCCCCAUUGGAAGUGGCCAUGACAAAUGUUGGAGUAGGGCGUUCUUUUACCAGCUUCUCUGCAAAUGUCUCUAGAAUCCUAUCGUACUUGCCCUCGUCAAUUGGCUCCACUGUCCUGUUGUUUUCCUUCUGCUCUCUCUGCUGCUUCUCUUUGAACACUUCCCACCACUUUCCUAGUCUCUUAGCAGUUCGACCUGGAACUUCCGCUGCAAUUUUCUUCCAUUUGUUGCCGUGUUUGGCUUGAAGUCGGACAACAAGACGCUGCUCUUCUUCAGUAAGAGAUCCCUUUUUUAUACCAGGCUUGAGGUAGUUCUUCCACCUUUCUAAGCAGGAUUUAGCAUCCCUGUUUAGAGGUGUGUUCAUGCGCUGUGACACAAGGUUCCACUCUCUAGGACCAUAUUGUUUAACAUAUGCACGUAACAAAGCGUCCUCUUCAGCUCUCCAACGCUGCCUCUCCUUCAUUUCCAGGUGAAAAUGCCAAUGCCCAUUGCCUUAAACUCUUCAUAAUGUGUCUGAAAAUUGUCAGGUUAAAAUAUCAGUCUAUUUUAACGAAGAAAUGAUACAAGUAAUUACUCUAUUGAAUUGAGAAUUCCACUGCAAAGAUACAAUACAACAAAACAAAGGAAGGGAGGCAAGAUUAGCAAAAGUUGGACUCAUAACAAGCACCACUGAAGUACUUGACGACAGCACUAAUACAUAUAUAUAACCUAAUUAUGAGCUCAUUGAAAAGAUGACAGAUCCAACAUACUCAACCUUUAUGCUUCCACCUCUGGUACAAGCACCACUGAAGUACUUGACGACAGCACUAAUACAUAUAUAUAACCUAAUUAUGAGCUCAUUGAAAAGAUGACAGAUCCAACAUACUCAACCUUUAUGCUUCCACCUCUGGUACAACCACAGAAUCGGCCAGAUGGAUUUACCUUAUUACACCACAAAAUCAGGAACCAACAAACAAUUGGAAACAACGGUAGAUUAUGCAACUUAGUGGGUGCUAAUGUUUUGAUUUUCAACAUGAAAAGGAAAAUGAUAUCAAGCCAAACAUAUGAAAACAGUGAACUUAACCAAGAACCAAAGGUAUAACAAUAAACACCGAUUGAUACAAAGGAAGAAAAUGACAUCACGACAGUAAGUGCUUCUCAGUCAGUUCUGAAAGCAGUGGUACAGCGUCAGCGUUGUAAUGAUUAUGCUCUCAACUACACAAUAGACUUGAUGUAAAUGACAAAAAAGGAAGAAGAAAUACUAUAGGACUGAAUCCAGGAGAAUGAAUAAAUAGGGAAGUCCCAUUCUAGAGCUGCUAGGCAUCAACGAAGCAUAUCAUACAGAAAAAGAUAAUAUUAGUGCCUGCAUUAACAACAUUUAGUGAAAUAGCAUAGGGUAUUGCCCGAUGCUUCAGAAAUUAACCUAAAACAUACUAAAUUCAUGCACAACUAACAAUUCAUUUAGCCACUCCCAAUAGCUGUGACCCAAUCAAGAAAUUACAAUGACAAUGUAAAUUGCAUAGGAUUUGCAGCAAAAUAAUACCUCAAACAAACUUGAGUUCUUAACACUGAUGGGGCAUCUCAUAACCAAUAAGCAAAUGGGCGUACGAUUGCCAAAGCAUGUUAAUUUUAAGAUCAAGUGUUACUAAUUGCAGAGCGAUUUUAUUAUGGUACAACUCCAACGUUUAUAGUACGCAAAAAUCAAUCCUUUUUUGUAAGCGAGGAAUGGGGCUGUCAAAUUUGAUAUUAUCAGCAAAAUUAAUACGAAGAAAAUAAUUGACAUUGUUAGAUCCGAAUCACAAACAUUAAAGGUGAGAUCAGAACCGACUUAAAUUUGCAAAUAAAUAUCUGGAUACAUCAACUCUUAUCAGCUGAAGAAACCUGCUUUACAACAGGGUUUCCAUAAUGGAAUCAUUAAUCAAUGUAUUAUUAAAGCAAGAGCUGCCAUAACUAACAUACCCAGAUUCCCAGAAAAGAACAACAAAAAAUAAUGAGCAUAGUGGAGUAUUGAAAAAUUGUUACUUGAUAUAUAAUAUAGCCGCUGUGCUAGUCUAUUUGAACCAUAGAUUCGUAGAAAUUUUUAACAAUCACAAGACAAUGAAACAAGCUUUUCCAAAAUUUCCACCGCAACCAAGCAUUCUACUACAGAAAAUAAACAAACAGACAAAAAUUUGCCCGAUAGCAAGAAAACCACUACCCUGCUCAUGGAAAAUGAUGAAAAGUAAAAAGGCUUACAUUUUUCAUCAAGUACUCAAAACCAAGGUUCUUCUUCGACGCAUCUCCUGCACGAUACUAUGAACGACACACAAACACACACGAGAUAAAAAUAAAAUGAAACAAAACCAGCUUAACGGCCUAAACCCUAGAGAGAGAAAAAUCCAUCGCUAGAGAGAGAAACAGACACAGUGGAAAUGAGAGAUUAGACUAUACUAAAGAGGGGGGAAAAACAGAGCAACAAAGCAACAGUAACAUGUCGAGAAACACAGAUCUGACAGGGGCCGAAACAAGAGUGCACGCGAAUGCGAGAGGGAGAAAGAGAUAUAAAUAUGGUUAUUGAAUCCCUGAUGGUGACGCCUUCUAUGGAAUGUGAUUGCGUCAGCUCCUCCUGUUCCUCCUCCUACUCCUACAUAACCACCACCACCACCAGUGCCACUGGCCAAGUUAGAGAGAGACAGAAAACGAAGGAAAAAGAGCAACAAGCAGAAAAAAAAGCAAUUGUAUUAAAUUAGUGCUGCGUAGUGUAGGCUCGAUUUCAGCGCUUAAAAUGCGCCACCUUCCGUCAUUUCGUUGCUUUCGGUUUGGAGGUUUGUUUUGCGUCUGGACAAAUUUGAUUAAUCGAACAUCCCAGUUUCACAUGGGUUCCGUUAAAUCACAUACCUGUCAUUUUAAAUUGUAUAACAGCUAAAUCACAGCCAUCGAAAUCACUGACUCACAGCAGACACAACGUUUCAUCAACCGUAUAAUAAUGAUUUGGAGACGGCACCUGGAGAGUCUGUAAAUGAAGUGAAGGAUUUUUAACAUUAUUGUUAAGAGGCGUGGACUAUACACGCACGUGUCAUCUCUCUUGGAUCAGUAGAGCAUAAUGUGGUCCGCACUCCAUAAUCCAUAAGAUUAGAAACUAAUUGCGAAAUUUCGGCGCAGGAUAGCAAUAGAAAGAGUCAUCGAAAAACGAAAAGGACUGGGUUUUCGUAAUCCGGGCAAAAUGAUUUUUCACUGCUUUACUUUUUUAGGGUUCACUGUCUACUCUCUCCACGGCCAAGCAGAGUUUGUUCUUUUCUCGCUUUGAUGCAAAACUGCGAGGACGUGACUAGAGAUCAACUGAUUAGAGAUAUGGUAACGAGUUACAGUGUAUUUAUGACGCAUCCUCCACUUAUUCAUGGUAAAGCAUCUAACCGCCCAUCCAAACAAAGAUCGUGGUGGUGAUGAUCUUUCGUCUCAAGAGAAUUCUGAUUUUGAUAGCAUUGCAGACAGGCAGGGGAUUGCAUAGGGCAGAGAUUUGUCGUGUGAAGGAGCAUAGGGUACAGGAAAACAUGAUAGGGAAGAGGGUAGGGAAUAGAAGGGAUCUUUAGGGUAUGAUUAGGAGAGGGAAUGGGAUGCCACGUGGUAGUGACGGACCCAAGUGGAUGUGGGAAGGAGUAUUGCAGUCCGGGUUUCGCGGCACAAGGAGACAAGAGUGAUAGAGACGGGACGUUCUGGUACGCUCAGAGGACGCGGCCCAUUAACUCGGUUUUUUCUCCAUCCUCUCUCUUUCUUCCUCUGCUUUGUAUAUGUUAUUGGUGGGCCAUUCUCGUCUCUAUUUUGAAUUCUGGGUUUAAAUAGUUCCUUGCUUACCUUCUGAAUUUCCCUUGUUACCCCUGCGACAAUUACUACAUUACUUUCGUAUCAUAGUAUUUGGAAAUGGAGACUGCUAGCUUGCAACUACAAUCACC